AAAUCGCAUCAAAUUUAUCGGUCAAUUAUGAAUGCGCCUAGUGGGAGAUGGCAGAUUGGGACACGCUGCUGAUGGACCAUACAACGCUAUACCGUUGGAGCAGCGGCCGACACUUUGCCGCAAGAGCUGACAGACCAACUAGCUCCAGGAGGUCGACUGAUAUGCCCGGUCGUAGCUAUAGAAGGUUUCCAAAGGUUUCAAGAUCUACUGCAAGU